CUCAGGUUACUGGGAACCUUCAUCAGACACCCAAGACAGCAUCUCACUCUGUGGCCCAGGCUGGAGUGUGGUGGCACUAUCACAGUUCAUUACAGCCUCAACGUCUCGGACUCAGAUGAUCCUGCCACCUCAAUCUCCCAAGUAGUUGGGACCACAGGUAAUGAGAGAUCACCAGGCUAGGAGGAUAGAGAAGCCUGAAUUCUGCUAAGGAAUAGACAUAAACAACUGCCAGCCAUUAUUCUGGAGGUCACAAGAAGUGAUUCAGCACUCAGGAUUAUUGCCCACACCCCUACGAUUGCACCCCCAAGCAAUCACCAGCAAGCACCCAAUGCCUAGCCAUCCCCACCCCUUCCCCCAAACUACCUUUGAAAAACCCCUAACCUACCAGCCUUCAAUGAGAUUGAUUUGAGUAAUAACUCCAUCUCCAGUGUGGAGUGGCCAGCCUCACAUCAAUUAAACUCUUUCUUUACUGCAAUGCUAUGGUCUUUGUUUGUGCAGCAGGCAGGAAGAACUCCUCAGGCAGUUACACUUCGAGCCUUAAGACACCUUGAUGUCAGACUUCCAGUGCCCUGAAUUGUGACAGAAUAAAUUUCUGUUGUUUUAAAACUCCCAAGUUUGUGACAGUUUGUUAUGGCAGUUCUAGGAAACUAAAAUAAAU
rnacentral:lncRNA from 1 species